rnacentral:lncRNA from 1 species
AAGGGCUAGUAAUGGUGGUUAAGUGACUUGUCCAGGGUCACCUAGCUAGGACUCUUCUGAGGUCAUAUUUGAACCCAGGACCUCUAGUCUCUAGGCCUGGUUCUCAAUUCACUGGGUCACCUAGCUGCCUCCAGGUGUGUCCGUUUUGAGCAGAAGCACAUUUGGGGCAGGGAAGAUGAGCAGCAAAGGUGAAGAGACAGGACUUCCAUAUCUCCCAGCCCAGUAAGGACUGAACCUAGACCUCAGACUUACUGGACUGUGGUCCCCUUUCCCCCUCCCACUGUGAGAAUUGUGCUUCUCUGGCUGGGGACAGAGAAAGGGGAGGGACCCAGUUUGAAGGGGGAGGGACCCAGGGGAAGGUCAGGAGGGGAACGGGACACUUGUCCUCUUCAACUGUCUACUCUUACAAACAACCAGGGGCUCCGCCUGUUCCUCUUCUCUCCCAGCAGGGAGAACCUCACCGCGGUUGCCGAGAGAGGCCCAGAAGGAGCUGGUUCUCAGGAGGUCCCUCUGGACUGGGGAUCUUCUCCAGGAUGAGAUCCUCUUCAGGUUCAGCCCACCUCAGAACGACUGGGUUUCCCUGAGCUCGGGCCGUCGGGGAGGCUGAGCAGAGGCCGAGGAGACAAAUUAGGACUGUGGUUUUGGCUGCGUAAAGGCCGGGGCUAGGGAAGGGGCAUCCCUGUUUCCGGAGCAACAGCUUCAUUUGCAUGUGGGUUGGUGGGGCAGGGGGUGGGUUAAGAGGAGCCGACCCAGAGCUGCGCGUUACCCAGAGCUAGUAGCCCGGGGUCCCUGGGAGCUCCAGACAGAACCUGGACACCCGGAUUACGGGUGUCUCCUUAGGCCGUGGGGAUGCGGGCUGCUGCCGGAAUCUGGCUGCCCCUCGUACUGCUGUAUCUGCUCCUGCUGCUUCCGAGCUCUGAGGGCCAGAAUCCCAAGGACUGCAACGUGGACUUGCGCGACGAGAUCUGCAAUUGUAGCCUGGCCGCCGACUACCUUCACUGCGAGAACCUGGUCUGCAGAAACCUCGGGGGCAAUGAGUCGAACGUCAUCCAGUACCAUGAGGAGAGCUGCAGGGACUUGGGCUCCGGGGUCCCACUGGGCCCCAGGGCCCUGGGCGCCGGGGCCGUCGUAGGCAUCGUCCUGGGGCUGCUGAUGCUGUUAGUGGGAGUCGUCGUGGGGACCGUCCUAGGGAUCCGCAGGAAACGGUGGUGGGAAGCCCCGGAGUCUUGUCCCGGGAAGCCUUCGGAGAGCAACGGCAGUCCGGCCGCGGCCUGGCAGCCCCGUUACAGCAGUCGGAGCUGCAGUUCCGAGCCCUUCCCUGCGGCCACUUCCCCCACCCACUCGGCAGCCCCAGGCCCAAGCAGUCCCGGGACUCCGCUCUAUCAGAACUUGUUUCUGGGCUCCCAGCCCAGUCACCAGAGCCCGAAUUCCACGGAGAGCGGGACUUUGCCAGAGUCGGAAGACCUCUACAUGAACUAUGAGGACAGCCCCAGGUCUGAGCAGCCCAUCUAUGGCAACGUGGAUAGCCUGAGCUGCGCCCCAGACUUCUCAGAACCCCCUCAUCCAGGGGAGGAGGACGAGGAUGACUAUGUGGUGCCAGGGUGCUGAACGCAUCACACUGGGAAGCCGCCUGCACCCAGGGCCAGCCCUGGGUCCUAUCCGACUUUAUGCAAAUGAGCCAGCAAGGACUCCGGGAGAGAGUUUGGGGGAGCCUCGAAACUGUAAUAAAGAAACUCCAUAUCUGUUGCA